rnacentral:antisense_RNA from 1 species
CUUCAGCGACCCCAGCAGCAGCGGGCGGCCCGGGUCCCGGCCGCGCCCGUAGGCCGCCGCGAGCGCCCCCGCCUC